GCUCCGGCUGGGUUUUAAUCUGGGACUCUAACGGAAGGGCCAUGGGAGCGUUGUGCAGCAGCCUUGGGUGCAUACCCUGAAUGGCAGUGUCUGGAGCAGGGUAGGCUCCUUAUUACACCCCACUGACAACACAGGCACAUAGCCAACAGCUCCUGGUGGGCCCGUGGCUCUAACACUCUGGGUGUGGAACGGUGGCUUGAGCUGUAAUACGGGUCUGUGUCACUCCAGAGGCUUAUGGUGUGUUCUUCUUUGUUUCCUGUCUGCUCCGUUUCUCUGCUUUUCGAUGAGUCGUUUGUUUUCUUUAAUUUUGAGUUGUGAGAGUUCUCUGGAAACACCCUCCUUAUCAGAUGCAUAAUUUGUAAAUAUUGUUUCUUGGUCUGUGUGAACUGUCUUUCUAUUCUCUUGACAGUUUUCCCCACAGUUGGUUUCUUUCUUUCUUCUUCUUCUUCUUUUUUUUUUUUUUUUUUAAUUUUGAGAGAAUCUAACUCAGCGAUCUUCUUUCUCUGGUGGAAAAUGAUUUUGAGGUAUCUUACGUAAGUUGUCUUUGUCUUAGGGAAAAAGCCACAGGGUCUUAUGGAUGUAACGAUCUGCGUUUGAGUCUUGGUUUGGAGUUGAUCUGGCCAUCUUCAGACACACCAGAAGAGGACAUCGGAUCCCAUUACAGAUGGUUGUGAACCCCCAUGUGAUUGCUCGGAAUUGAACUCAGGACCUCUGGAAGAGCAGUCAGUACUCUUAACCCUUGAGCUAUCUCUCAGCCCUAGUUGGUUUUUUUGUUUUGUUUUGUUUUGUUUUGUUUUGUUUUUGUAAGUCUGUUACCAUUGGAUUAUAGCAACUAGUCUUCAAGUGUUAAGUUGGCCUGUGCUGGGGGAUAAAAGCAACUUAGUUUUGAUGUUAUUAUCUUUGUAUGGUAGCUGAAUUAUUUAACGUGUUUACAAGUGCCGAAUUUUCCCCCUUAGCUUUAUGUUUUGUAUCACUCAAGAAAGUUUCUGUUCCCCCCCUCCCCAAGCUACUGCAGUGGUCAGCAUAAAAGCAUUCAUAAGACACCCCUGUAAGGCUUUCAGUGUCCAUGAAUGUGACUGUCACUGUUCUCACGCAGGACCCCUCCCGUGCCCUGUGCUUCCUCUCUGACAGUUUGGGAGAGAUAUGUAUCGAUCAACUCAGAACAACAGUUUUGGUGUCAGCGGCUUUUCCACUGUUUUACUUUUCCUCCCUUGGUUUCUUCUCUGAUCGUGGUCCUUUCUCUUCUUCCCUGCACACAUUUACCUUCCUCUGCCCUUCCUAGUUUCCUCAGCUAGAGGAGGAGCUCCUGGGCAGGGUUUGUUUCCUGUUCCAGCGUCAGCACUUCCUGUUGUCCUGUUUCUGCUGCAUCCUAGGACUUUGAUAUUUGUGGGGGUUCUUUUUCUUAUCAAAUUUAAAAUACUCUAUGACCUCUCAUUCUAGUUUUUUGUAAAUACUUAUCUAUCUGUGUUUGUGUGGUCAGGCAAAUGGUACCCAAGACUGUAGGUCAGAGGACAACUUGCUGUAAUGAGAAUUUUGGUUAAAAAACAAACAAACUAGUUAUGUGAAUAUAUUUUUGUUUUAAUCUAGGAUGUGGGAUAAGAGGCUGCUUCACAGCAGGUGAUUAUGAUUUACCUCGUGCACUGGCAGGGAUGUGAUUUUUGCCAGCUGCAGAUAGUUUAAUUCUGGGAACUCUGGAGAGAGUAUAAGUGAAAGAACGGUGUGUGGGGGGGGGGGGCUAUGGCAGCUGCCUCUACCCCUGCCUGUUCCCCCUGCCUACCCCCCUGCUGCUUCCCCUGCCUCUCCCCCUGCUGCUCCCCCUGCCUACUGCCCCUGCUGCUCCCCCUGCCUGCUCCCCUUGCUUCUCCUGGUUGCUGCUGUUGCAAUCCUGUCUAUAAAGACUGGACUUGCCCCCAAAGAACCCAGUGCCCCUAACCAGCAGGAAGUAGCCUAUUUUGUUGGCUGAAAGAGAUCUACACCUCUUCCCCCUCUGACCUUCUUUCUCUCCUACCUAGUGUUGGGGUAAUUGGAAGGGAUUAGGAAGGAAUAAAGGUUGAAAGAGUGGUAGAUGUAAGAACCCAAUAAAAUAGCUAAAAACAAAUAUGCCAACAACUUGCAGAAGCAGGGUCUCCCCUUCUACCAUGUGGGUCCUAGGAAUCAAACUCAGGUCCUCAGACUUGGCAGCAAGCACCCUUUUCCUGACGAGCCAUCUCACCAGCCUCUCCAGUUCUCGUUUGACCCGUGAGUUUAACAGUUUGUCACUCAAUUCCAAGAUGUUUGAAAAUUUUCCAGCAAUCUAUUAUUAAUAAUUUAAAUACAUUGUCAGAAGAUAUAUUCUAUAUUUCAGGUCCUCUUAAUUUUACUGAGACCCACUGACGGUCCAGAAUACAAAGAAGGUUUGCAUGCGAUCAGAACAUGUGUUCUGCUGCCCAGUGGUGUGUUCUGUGGUAUGGAGGCUGCUGGCUACAUCACAGAGAAGCUUCUGGGAUUACCAACUUGCCAAUUUGCUCUAGUAAUUACUGAGAUGUGGGGACUGAAAUCUCUAGUUAUAAUCGUAGAUUAGGUCCGCCAAGAUGGCUCAGCUGGUAAAGACACUCGCUAAAGCCUGACGGCCUGAGUCUGAUUCCCAGAAUCCCCAAAUAGGUGACAGGAGAGACUGGCUUUACGAAGAAGCCCUCUAACCUCCUCAUGUGCACUGUGGUGUGAGUAUACACACACACACACACACACACACACACACCAGUAAAUAAAAUGGUUUCCGGGUGGUUGUUUCUCUGUGUACUCCUGUCUUUGUUGAAGCUCACUCUGUAGACCAGGCUGGCCUCAAACUCAGAGAUCCGCCUGCCUCUGCCUCCCGAGUGCUGGGAUGAAAGUCAUGCACUCCCACUACCCCGCUAAAAUAAAAUGUUAAAAAAUAAAUUUAAAAAAAUUGUAGAUUAUGUGUGUGUGUGCAUGUGCCUUGUCUAUGUGGGUGUAUGUUUGCUUACGUGAAUGUGUAUGUGAACCCUCGUGUGUGUAUGUAUAGACUGGAAGCUGACAUUGAUGUCUUCUUCAGUCUCUAUCUUAGUGUUGAGACAGUAUCUCUCAACCCAACUUGGCUAGUCCAACUGGCCAGCAAGCCCAGGAAUUUCCCUGUCUCCACCUCCCCAGCACUGAGAUUACAAGCACGAGCUGCCACACCUGAAUUUUUUUAAAACACGGGUGCUGUAGAUCUGAACUCAGUUUCUCAUGCUUGUGCAGUGAACACGUUACCUGCCGAACUCCCCUACCCCAUCAAGAGAUUAUUUUGUUCAGUUUGAAUCCUUCUGUUCUGACAGCAUGUGCUCUCUAGACAUCCACCUACUGUGGUGUUAAUACAGCCAUGGCCAGCUUCAAUUUGGUUAGAGCAGCAUGUCCCAAUCUGUCCUUUCUUGUCAUAUGGCGGGGCUUUCCGUGUCAAGCCACUUCCUCAGGGUCCCACAGUGCUGAUGGACCUCUCAAAACCAAUCAUCUCCACAGGGAAAAACAGAGACUCUAAGGAAGCUCCCUCCAUGGAGCUAAGUGUGCUGGUUGCUCUUCUCCCUGGUGAGCAAUAUCUUACAAGUGACUUACAGGAGGAGUUUUUCUGGUUCAUAGUUUGAGACUGCCAUCUGGGUAGGGAAGGCAGGGUAGCAGGUGCCUGUCCAUAGUCCAGAAGGCAGGAUUUGUUCAAGACUUGCUUACUCCCAUCUUGGAGGACCAGGAAGCAAAGGGACUGACUGACUGGUAGCAUUCAAAUGACUUUUUCCUUUUUCCUCUUUUAUGCUACCCAAGUCCACAGCCCACAGGAUGGUGUCGCCCAUACCCAGGGUGGGUUUUCCUGCCUCAGUUAAACUCUUUGAAAAACACCCUCACAGACAUGCCCAGGGGUGUUCUUCAGUCUUCUAGAUGAUUGUAAGUCCAGUCAAGUUUACAGUGACUAGUCAUCACAGAGGGUUUAUGUGAUCAGACAGUAGCUACCCAGAGAGAAGGGUACAGCCUUGCUCUGGUGAUGUCCUGUAGGCAUCAUGUUAUUGUGCACUAUGUAAAGAUUAUCCUUGUAUUAUUCAAAUGUUUAUUUCUGUGCCACUGUAUCUGGUUGCAGUCCUUAUUCUAAGAAUCUCCUGUAUCGAUGUUGUGUAAACAUUGCUCCCCAAUUAUUCCCUGAUUGAUCAAUAAAGCUAGCUGAUCCGCUAGUGGCUGAACAUGGGAGAGAAUAGGGCUGGGUUUACACCCAGGGCAGAGAGGGGAGGAGGAAGAGGAAGAGGAAGAGGAAGAGGAAGAGGAAGAGGAAGAGGAAGAGGAAGAGGAAGAGGAAGAGGAAGAGAAGAGAAGAGAAGAGAAGAGAGAAAGUGGGUCCAGGAUAGUUCAUGAGAAAACACUUGAAGCAGAGAAAACCAUAAAAUGCAAGUAGCACAGGGAUUUUGCCUGGGAGGUAGCCAGAUUAGGAUAGAUUAAAAUAGAGUAAUAACUGCUCAGUUAUUGUGCCCUCACAGCUGUAAAAUAAAUGUAAUAGCUCAGUCUCAAUUAUUUGGGAGCCAACUGGGUAAGGGGAAAACUGUAACACACCUUUUAAAGUGCCACUAAAAAUGUCCUGUCCAGCAAGUCCACGCAGCUGUGGGAAGGCAGCAGACACACUGGAACUGAAUACACAGGAUGCUCAACACUGAAAAGGUCGCUACAGACAAACAGACGUCUGAGGCCCUGCUGCAGAAAUCCUAGAUCUCCCGGGAUUCUUGGAUCUCCAGGGAUUCCUGGAUCGUCCAGAAUUCCUGGCUCUCUGCGUUGUUUUGAAG